rnacentral:siRNA from 1 species
UUGAAGGCAUCCUAUUGCAUUG